GCGGGCCCUCGCUGAAAGUUUCUUUCUAAAUGCACUUAACACCCUGUCGCAAUGAGCUUUAUAGGGAAGGGACCUCUAGGGUACAAUAGGGACCCUGUUCACCACCGGAGUACCGUCACAGGCCGGCACUACCUGUCCUCCGGGUCCCAGUCAGGCAUGGCCGUGGCCGAGCACAGCCUAGAUGACUGCAGCCCCGCUAGUCGCUGUCGGGGCACGCAACGAACGCGGAUGAGCUUGUGCGGGCCGAAUGAGAGUGGAGCGGCCAGGCAAGGGUUCCCAAGGUGUCUGCAGACCUCUCGGUCGGACGGGAACUAGAAGUCCCAGCUUCGGGCACUUGAGAGGAACCCCUCGACCCCAAAACACUUGAAUCUCAACGGGAGCAGCUGUUCGCCCUAGCUAGAAAGGAGCUGGCAAAACCUGUUGCACGGAUCUAGAGCUGAGAAAGUCUCUUAGCUUCUUACACGUGAGUACGGACCCUACACCAAGCCCUUCGCAGGCGCUGCAGUUUCGGGCUGCGCCUCCGGCAUCGCUCCCGCACGUCCCGCAGGCCGGGUAGGGCAGGGCCGCCCCUUCCCUACGCCGCGCAGCAGAGCGGUGGCAAAUUGGUGACAUCUGGCCCCGAAUGCUGUGGAACCUUUUUUAACUUUCGAGAAGGAAAAAUCUUCCUGAACGCGUUAGGAAAGGGAGCAAACCCCGACUGCAAAGCCACGGCGGGGGCGAGGCCGGUUGUAGAGCCUUGCGAGGGAACGAAACGACCGGGUGAGGUGCUUUUUGGUGUGGGCGAAAGGGUUCUUUCACUGCAAUCAUACCCCGGAGUGAGCGACCCGAGCCGCCUGCUAAUCGUGUCCUCACCCCGAGGGAACUUUCUGCCGGGUCGCCGUCGGCUCUCCCCGUGCAGCAGCAGUCAAAGGAUCUCCCCGGGCUGAGCGAGGCUCGUGCUUGGCACUGGAGACCUAGCUUCGUCCCGGGCCCGUUCCCGUCCCCAUACCCGGCCCCGGUCACACUCCCUGCCCGAGUGUGACUUCACCGGAGCGUGCAGGACAGGCGGUGUCAGCGCGAGUCCUUGUGAAAUCUAAGUGAAAUAAACCAAAAAGCCGUUUUUCUCGUAA